rnacentral:rRNA from 1 species
AGCGAACGCUGGCGGCAGGCCUAACACAUGCAAGUCGAACGAACUCUUCGGAGUUAGUGGCGGACGGGUGAGUAACACGUGGGAACGUGCCUUUAGGUUCGGAAUAACUCAGGGAAACUUGUGCUAAUACCGAAUGUGCCCUUCGGGGGAAAGAUUUAUCGCCUUUAGAGCGGCCCGCGACUGAUUAGCUAGUUGGUUCGGUAAAGGCUCACCAAGGCUACGAUCAGUAGCUGGUCUGAGAGGAUGACCAGCCACAGUGGGACUGAGACACGGCCCAAACUCCUACGGGAGGCAGCAGUGGGGAAUCUUGCGCAAUGGGCGAAAGCCUGACGCAGCCAUGCCGCGUGGAUGAUGAAGGUCUUAGGAUUGUAAAAUCCUUUCACCGGUGAAGAUAAUGACUGUAGCCGGAGAAGAAGCCCCGGCUAACUUCGUGCCAGCCGCCGCGGUAA